rnacentral:rRNA from 1 species
GUCGAGCGGUAACAUUUCCAGCUUGCUGGAAGAUGACGAGCGGCGGACGGGUGAGUAAUACUUGGGGAUCUGCCUGAUGGCGGGGGACAACCACUGGAAACGGUGGCUAAUACCGCAUAAUGCCUACGGGCCAAAGUGUGGGACCUUCGGGCCACAUGCCAUCAGAUGAACCCAAGCGAGAUUAGCUAGUUGGUGAGGUAACGGCUCACCAAGGCGACGAUCUCUAGCUGUUCUGAGAGGAUGAUCAGCCACACUGGGACUGAGACACGGCCCAGACUCCUACGGGAGGCAGCAGUGGGGAAUAUUGGACAAUGGGCGCAAGCCUGAUCCAGCCAUGCCGCGUGUGUGAAGAAGGCCUUCGGGUUGUAAAGCACUUUCAGUGGUGAGGAAGGCGUUGUAGUUAAUAGCUGCAACGAUUGACGUUAGCCACAGAAGAAGCACCGGCUAACUCCGUGCCAGCAGCCGCGGUAAUACGGAGGGUGCGAGCGUUAAUCGGAAUUACUGGGCGUAAAGCGCACGUAGGCGGCCUGUUAAGCAAGAUGUGAAAGCCCAGGGCUCAACCUUGGAAUUGCAUUUUGAACUGGCAGGCUAGAGUUUUGAAGAGGGUGGUAGAAUUUCCAGUGUAGCGGUGAAAUGCGUAGAUAUUGGAAGGAAUACCAGUGGCGAAGGCGGCCACCUGGUCAAAAACUGACGCUGAGGAGCGAAAGCGUGGGGAGCAAACAGGAUUAGAU